ACACGGAGCAAAGCACUCAGGGGUUCAAGCAGCAUCAGACUUCCCCGCGAGGUUCCUCCACUGCCUUUGUCACCCGCCAGUGUGAAGUCUCCAACCCUCCCCGUGUGCAGUCUGCGCUUGGGAAUUUGUUGUUGUUUGUUAUAACCCAAAUAUACUUGAAAGGUAAAGCUUAAGAGCAAACUUACCUGGUGUGGGCACUGCAGCGUGAAGAGUUCUCUCACCCAUUGCUCUGUCCUCCUGCGCCUGGAUCCUCGAGAAACGGACUGUUCUUAGAAGCUGAAAGUCCAGCCGGAUUUACAGACAUCCAAGUAAGAGUCUGUGAGAACCGAAAUUGAAAGGACAUGCACUUUGUGGGGAGUUGACUGUUGGGGAUUUUCCUGUUUAUCAAGACAGGAAACUAAAGGAGCUUGAAAGUGCUGGUUCCUCCACACCAGACUCCUGAAACUCAGGUUUGUUGGUGGAAGGGACUUACCAUGUCUCAGACGAAACUUUGGACUGUGAACUUUUGAGUUAAUACUGCAAUGAGUUAAGACUGGUGAGUGUUCAAUAGCAAAGACUUGGAACCAACCCAAAUGUCCAACAACGAUAGACUGGAUUAAGAAAAUGUGGCACAUAUACACCAUGGAAUAUUAUGCAGCCAUAAAAAAUGAUGAGUUCAUGUCCUUUGUAGGGACAUGGAUGAAACUGGAAACCAUCAUUCUCAGCAAACUAUCGCAAGGACAAAAAACCAAACACCACAUGUUCUCACUCAUAGGUGGGAAUUGAACAAUGAGAACACAUGGACACAGGAAGGGGAACAUCACUCUCCGGGGACUGUUGUGGGGUCGGGGGAGAGGGGAGGGAUAGCAUUAGGAGAUAUACCUAAUGCUAAAUGACGAGUUAAUGGGUGUAGCACACCAACAUGGCACGUGUAUAUGUAACAAACCUGCACAUUGUGCACAUGUACCCUAAAACUUAAAGAAUAAUAAUAAUAAUAAUAAUAAUAAUAAUAAUAAAAAGACUGGUGAGUGUUAAGAAGGCAUAAUUGUAUUUUUCAAUGUGAAAAGGACAUGAAAUUUGGGAGGGACCAGGGGCAGAAUGGUAUGGUUUGAAUUUG
rnacentral:lncRNA from 1 species